UCUCGUCAAUUGUUUCGCAGUUCCUGGGAAGUGAAUGUAUCCUUGGGUCGAAUGAGUCUCCAAAUCAAAAUUCUUAUUGUUUCUCGAGUCUGGUGCAGUUUUCACUGGGAAUUACAAGUGUUGGAAAACACCCGAAUAUUAUUUAAAUUAUUGGCAAGUGCACGAACCUAUCCAGCUCGCUCUGUCGUGUUGUUGCUGUUUUGUUACAGAGAGACUUGUCUUCUUCAGGACAGUUCAGUGAUUCAGCCUAGCACAACUGAUGAGACCUGCUGGGUCGAAACAACGCUGUCUGGUAUUGGAUUACAAGUCCAUACUCAAUUAUUUGUAUUUUUUCAACAUAUUUGAAACGAUCAUCGAUAUGUUUUCAGUAAAGCAAGUGGAAUUCUCAAAAAUAUAGUCAAUUAACAUGAA
rnacentral:lncRNA from 1 species